GACGAACGUUGGCGGCGUGCUUAAUACAUGCAAGUCCACUGAAGCAGUGGUAGCAAUAUCCCUGUGGAGGUGGCGCACGGGUGAGUAACACGUAGGUAAUCUGCCUUCAGGUCUGGCAUAACUCCGGGAAACCGGGGCUAAUAGCAGAUGAUGCAGCGGCUCGACAUCGAGACAGUUGUUAAAGCUAUGGCGCCUGAAGAUGAGCCUGCGUCUGAUUAGCUAGUUGGCGGGGUAACGGCCCACCAAGGCAACGAUCAGUGGCUGGUCUGAGAGGAUGAUCAGCCACACUGGAACUGAGACACGGUCCAGACUCCUACGGGAGGCAGCAGUAAGGAAUAUUGCUCAAUGGGAGAAAUCCUGAAGCAGCAACGCCGCGUGAGGGACGAAGGGCUUUGGCUUGUAAACCUCUGUAGUGAGAGAAAAAAAUCCCAAUCUUUGGGACAUGAUGGUAGCUCAAAAGUAAGCCCCGGCUAACUACGUG
rnacentral:rRNA from 1 species